AGAGAGAGACAUGCGCGCAUAUCAAUAAGCGGAGGAAAAGAAACUAACAAGGAUUCCCCUAGUAACGGCGAGUGAAGCGGGAAGAGCUCAAAUUUGAAAUCUUAAAGGGUUUCCCUUUACGAAUUGUAGUUUAAAGAAGUGUUUUCUGUUGGAGUUUCGGUAAAAGUUCUUUGGAAUAGGACAUCAUAGAGGGUGAGAAUCCCGUAUUUGACCGUUACUUUCCAGCUGUGUGAUACACUUUCAAAGAGUCGGAUUGUUUGGGAAUGCGGUCCAAAAUGGGUGGUAAAUUUCAUCUAAAGCUAAAUAUUGGCGAGAGACCGAUAGCGAACAAGUACCGUGAGGGAAAGAUGAAAAGAACUUUGAAAAGAGAGUUAAACAGUACGUGAAAUUGUCAAAAGGGAAGCGUUUGACACCAGUGUUGUUUUCUCGGAAAUCAAUUAAAAAUGGCAGGAUUUUGUGUUGUAUUGACUUUAUCAGCUUUCUGCACUUUUUUCUUGUCUUUUUUAAUGCACUUUUCGUUUAACAAGUCAACAUCAAUUUCUUUUGUUGUAAAAGGGUAAGAGGAAGGUGGCUUGCGCUUCGGCUCAAGUGUUUAUAGCCUUUGAUCUCUGCAACCGGAGAGACUGAGGUCUGCAGCGUAGACUCUUCGGGGUUAGAUACAUUUGUGCUAAGCUAUAGCUUUUUAUAGACAACUUGUUGACUAUAUUUAGUCUUGUGGCUUACUCGCUUAUGCUAUUUUACCUACGCUUAGGAUGUUGACAGCAGUAUAGACUGU
rnacentral:rRNA from 1 species